CCUACGGGAGGCAGCAGUGGGGGAUAUUGCACAAUGGGGGGAACCCUGAUGCAGCGACGCCGCGUGGGUGAAGGAGUGCUUCGGCAUGUAAAGCCCUAUCGGCAGGGAAGAAGCAAGACGGUACCUGACUAAGAAGCCCCGGCUAACUACGUGCCAGCAGCCGCGGUAAUACGUAGGGGGCGAGCGUUAUCCGGAUUUAUUGGGUUUAAAGGGUGCGUAGGCGGGCUGUUAAGUCAGCGGUCAAAUGUCGGGGCUCAACCCCGGCCUGCCGUUGAAACUGGCGGCCUAGAGUGGGCGAGAAGUAUGCGGAAGGCGUGGUGUAGCGGUGAAAUGCAUAGAUAUCACGCAGAACUCCGAUUGCGAAGGCAGCAUACCGGCGCCCUACUGACGCGGAGGCACGAAAGCGUGGGUAUCGAACAGGAUUAGAUACCCGAGUAGUC
rnacentral:rRNA from 1 species